UGCAAGUCGAACGGUGAAGGAGGAGCUUGCUCCUUUGGAUCAGUGGCGAACGGGUGAGUAACACGUGAGUAACCUGCCCCAGACUCUGGGAUAAGCACUGGAAACGGUGUCUAAUACCGGAUACGAGCUUCAGCCGCAUGGCUAGGAGCUGGAAAGAAUUUCGGUCUGGGAUGGACUCGCGGCCUAUCAGCUAGUUGGUGAGGUAAUGGCUCACCAAGGCGACGACGGGUAGCCGGCCUGAGAGGGUGACCGGCCACACUGGGACUGAGACACGGCCCAGACUCCUACGGGAGGCAGCAGUGGGGAAUAUUGCACAAUGGGCGCAAGCCUGAUGCAGCAACGCCGCGUGAGGGACGACGGCCUUCGGGUUGUAAACCUCUUUUAGUAGGGAAGAAGCGAAAGUGACGGUACCUGCAGAAAAAGCACCGGCUAACUACGUGCCAGCAGCCGCGGUAAUACGUAGGGUGCAAGCGUUAUCCGGAAUUAUUGGGCGUAAAGAGCUCGUAGGCGGUUUGUCGCGUCUGCUGUGAAAACUGGAGGCUCAACCUCCAGCCUGCAGUGGGUACGGGCAGACUAGAGUGCGGUAGGGGAGAUUGGAAUUCCUGGUGUAGCGGUGGAAUGCGCAGAUAUCAGGAGGAACACCGAUGGCGAAGGCAGAUCUCUGGGCCGUAACUGACGCUGAGGAGCGAAAGCAUGGGGAGCGAACAGGAUUAGAUACCCUGGUAGUCCAUGCCGUAAACGUUGGGAACUAGAUGUAGGGACCAUUCCACGGUUUCUGUGUCGCAGCUAACGCAUUAAGUUCCCCGCCUGGGGAGUACGGCCGCAAGGCUAAAACUCAAAGGAAUUGACGGGGGCCCGCACAAGCGGCGGAGCAUGCGGAUUAAUUCGAUGCAACGCGAAGAACCUUACCAAGGCUUGACAUAUACCGGAAAAGUUCAGAAAUGUUCUCCCCGCAAGGUCGGUAUACAGGUGGUGCAUGGUUGUCGUCAGCUCGUGUCGUGAGAUGUUGGGUUAAGUCCCGCAACGAGCGCAACCCUCGUUCUAUGUUGCC
rnacentral:rRNA from 1 species